rnacentral:lncRNA from 1 species
GCCCUCCCACCAAGACGAGGCGCGCGCACCAGCAACCAGGGCCCGCUGGCGCCGCCCCGGGUUUCCGCUCCGGGGCUCGUCGGUCGCCGUUCGGUUCCGGUUCUGGCCCCGCCCUCACGCGGGAACCCUCCAGAAGUCUUAAUAUCCGGGACCAGAGGCUGGUUGCAGCGCACAUUUCCGGCAACGAGCGCAAAGGAAGGGAUCCGGUGACGCCUCUUCCCGUCUCCCCAGCGGCCCAGGCUCUGGCUCUCGGUGCGGCAGCGCCAUCUGGUGCCGAGUCUCCCGCCACCCGCGGAGGUGGCACGCGCCCUUCUCUCGGAACCUUCCAGAGAAACCGUGGCCCCUGCUUUCCUUUCUCCCGCCCUGGACGGGGAGGGACCCGAGUCUCCGCCCCGCCGAGUUCCCGCGCGGGAGGGACUUUGUGGCGACUCUGAAGCGGAAGCUGCCUGUAGGAGGAGCUUUACAAACCCAAAAUGGAGCGGAAACUGUUCUUUCUCUAGUUUUAAGUCCAGAAGAAACGGCGUCCUUUUAUUUUUUGCUUCCUUAUGCGUUGUUGCUGGGUCAUUCUCAGUCUUCCCCGUAUCAGUUCUUUAAUCUUUGAGGACUGGGACCCUGUAUUAAUUGCCUGGUAGGAAGAUGACACGAGCUUUGUGGCUUACAUUGGCCUCUGCUGUAAAAGCUUUUGUUUCCUUUGGCCUAUUAAAGCGCUGUUGUAAAAGCCUGCUGUGUAUGUUAGGAACCCAUCGAGAAGCAGAAUGUAGUAAUUUGCUUUAAAAUAGGCCAUGGAAGUUUCAGAAAGGUAGCCUCAGAAAUGCUCAAUGUAGAUUCGUUUGCAUGUCACGUUUCUUUUAGAUAAUCAGAGAAAGGAAAAGUAAUUUCCCCAAAGUUAGUAAAAUCAACACAUUUUCCUUUAAUAAUGUUCUUUUUUUCCUGUAAUCUUGGAGUACUAACAGAGUUGUUCUAAAUGUUUUAUUGGAAUGGUGCUGUGGAUAUCAAAAUAUAUAAUGAAACAAAUUUCCUUUAGAGUUUAGAUAGCACAUGUUAACUUGACUCUUUGAUUGUAUUUCUCCUAUAGUAAUGCUUCUCAAACUGGAGCAUGCAUCCAGAUUCUCUAGAAGGCUUGUUAAAACAGAUUGCUGGGCCUCAACACCAGAGGUUAUAACUGGGAGGGAAGGUCUGAGGAUACAGCUGGAUUAGUGUAGCUCUAGUAAAAUCUCAGGUGAUUCUGAUGCUGUUGGUACUAGGACCACACCUGGAAUAAUUUAGAGUUCAGGAUUGCUUUGUCAAUAAUGCUUUUUGCUGUUGCAGGACAGACGGUACUAAAAUAUACUGGUGAUACUAAGCCUGCACAAGUUAGUAGUCCUUUUGACUCCGUGGAUGGGAAGUAGUAAACUAAACCCUAGAACCAGUAGAGAGCUACAUAAAUGUUCACAGAUUAAAGCAACCAGUUCAUAGAAAUGUAUUCUGUAUAUGAUCAUGUGAUAGAGGGUGCUGUAAUACCAAGUAUACUAAAUAUUUCAGUUAUUAUACAGUAAUUGUUCUUUAGCUGUUAAAUUAGAAAUGACUAAAAUUAAGGACAAAAUAGUUUAAACAAUCAUACUAAUUUUACCCUUUGGAAGAUGCCAGGUUUUUUUCAGUCUUUUGCAUUUCCUCAAGUUCCCUUGUUUUACGGAAUUCUCUACCCCCAGCCCACUCCCAUCCCUACCGUGCCAUUUAUAAAUGUACACAGUGCUUACAUUAUAAAAAAUGAUCAUCUCAGAACUUGUCUCAUCUUUUCAGCAGGACUUUUCUCAAUUCUGUCAAAUUCUGACUGUGCCACUGCCUUUAUUGACACAGUAAUUAAAUCACGCAGUGAUUAAAGUGUGCUGCACACUGUAACUUUUGUGCUUGCUACAAAUAGAAAUACAGAUAUUGUUAGAUAAGUUUAUGUUUAUGAUAAUCAGUUCCUAAAAUGUAGAAAGCAGUCGGUUUUCUGGUCUCAGUUUUAUUUAAAUCACUGCUAUUUUGUUUACUGGAUGUAAGCUUCCCCCUCUCUGCUCUAGCCUGAAUGGGCCUUCGUGAAAAGAAGAAAAAAAAGAUUGAGAACAACUGUCUUAAAACCAUGGUAUUUUGGAAACAGCCUGAGGCCCUCACCAGAAAUAGCUGCUGGUACCAUGCUUCUUGUACAGCCUACAGAACUGUGAGCCAAGUAAACCUCUUUUCUUCAUAAAUUACCCAGCCUCAGGUAUUCCUUUAUAGAAAAAUAAAUGGACUAAGACAGUUGUUAAAUAACCUUAUUUUGUUGACUAAAAGUAAUUAGUAUUUUAUGACAUUUAUUUAUUAUGGCUGUUAACAUUACAAUUUAUCCUGGCUAAUUUCAUCAGUAAACACUCUUAUGAAAUGAUACUGUAGUUUACUUUCAACCAAGAAUUGGUUGACUUUGAUACAGUAAUUAGAUUAGGAUUCCCACGUCAGAUUUUCUUUCAAAAAUAAUUCCUAUUAUUAUGUGGAAGCCUCCUUUUCUGAUUUUUUUCUCUUAUUUUCUAAGAACAUAAUAUGUAAAUGGAUGUAUAAUGAAUAUUUGUGGCAAAAAGCAUUUGUCUAAGAAGAAUUAAGUUGAUUCAGCUGUUAAAGGGGUCUUAGUUGUUAGAGCUUUUUGGCGGUUUAUUUGCUAUAAUCAAUAGACUUAUUAAUACUUUUAAUUUUAGCCUAAUAGUACUAAUAGUCACAUUUUGACUAACUAUUGGGCCAGUUUUUCUUUGUCAUUCAUUGGUAGUUGAGUCUCUGUAGCCUUUAUACUGCCCUAUUUUUGGUUUGCCACAUUUUAAAUCUCAAACUGCCUAUAAUUUAUACUGUUAGUCUUUGGAAAUAAGUUUGAAUUGACUAUUCUGCUAAACUCAUUUUAAUGACCAUGCUCCCUUGUGAUGAGCUAAAUUUAUUUAUUAUUGUGUUGUCGUAUUAAUUUUUUUUUUUUUGAGACAGUCUCACUCUGUCGCCCAGGCUGCAGUGCGGUGGCUCAGUCUCCACUUACUGCAACCUCCACCUCCCGGGCUCAAGUGAUUCUCCUGCCUCAGCUUCCUGAGUAGCUGGGAUUACAGGCAAGAUUAAUGUUUUUUAUUUGUAAUCAAUUUAAGCCUAAUACAUGUUCUAAUAAUUUUUGUAUUUCAUAUAUGGAUAAAUUAUAAUAAUUCUUUUAAAGUGAAAGUAUUGAUGAGAGAUACUUUUUUUUGGAAUAGCUCAUUUUAAGCCCCUGAUACUUGAUAUGGAUAAAAUAUUUUCAGUGUUUAAUAAAAUGUUGAAAUAUAUUUAACUUUACUAAUUUGAGCCCUGCCAAUUAUAAUACUUUAGAAAAAGUGAAAAUAUAAUAGUACAUUUAUAAGGCUUUUAAGUAUUCACAAAAUAGUCAUUUCCCAGUAGAUGUUUUUCAGCUCUUAUGAUACAGUGUUUUCUUUUUCUUUUGGCCAUGUAUUGAUCAGAAUUAGUCAUUAACUUUACUAACAACUGGAUUUAGUUUGUCAGCCUUGAUGGUUUGGUUACACAGAUGUAGCUAUUGUGUCAACCCCACUGUUUUAAAUAUGUUCCUAUGCCAGGUGAAAUUUGAUCCCUUUAAGCAAAUUUCUGUUAAACACUUUGUGUCAGUUUCAGUAACGUUUCCCCAAUGAACAUUCCUACUGUACAAAAUUUUACAUAUGUGUAUUUACAUAUUUAUACUUUUUUCACAAAUGUGGGAAUUUAGGAUACUAUGUUUGUAAAAAUUGGGCAAUUUUUCUUGAAGAUAAUUUUUAAAAUUACAGCAAAACAUAGGGCCCUGAGAAGAAGAGGUAAAAUAUAUGGAAGAGCAAGUAUGUAUAGAUAAUUUUGUAACGUAACCUUGAGAGAAAUAUAGAAAACUGAGACAACAUAAGCCAAAGGAAAGGAAUUGGGAUGUAAAACCUUUAGGGUAGAGCAGUGCUCUGCUGUGGUCAUUUAUGCCUUGGCAUUAAGUUCUUUUGAAUAUAAAACAAUGCAUUUAGAAGGAUUUUAAGACUAUAUCACAGUGCACUGGCAUUUUCUUCUUCAAUUUUCCAGGGCUAAAUAAGGUAAUUGAAUAAUAAAACUUAAAAGCAUUUUUCAUUUCAUGAAGAUCCAAGAAAAAAUAUUUCAUAACAAUUUUUAUUUACAAGAAGGAAAAACAUAUUCAUAAGAAUCUUAGAUGAUUAGUAGGUUAAUGAAAUAAAAAGUUUGUUAGGAAGAAGGAAUACUAGUUAUUGAACAAUGCCAAUUUUUUCUAUUUAAAAAUAUUUAAAAUGCCAUUAGUUGAUUUAUUUAAUGAGCCAUCAGCCUUUAUUUUAGAUUCACUAUAACUCUGAUCUCCUAAACCUGCUUUUCCUAUCAGGUCUUAAAUAUUUCAUCCCUGCUUUCUUUUACAAUAUAGUUUUUGGGAAUGUAACUAUCAUGUUGAUAAGUAAUGCUAGGUGAAGGAAAAAGUUAAAACAACUCCAAUGCUAGGCAGUGAUAUACCAUAGAAAAAUAAAUGAGCCAAAGAUAGGGGAAGUGAUUUUUUUUGGAGGAAGAAAACAGAAAUGAGAACAAGAGGACAUGGAUGACUGCUGAAAAACUGACCAAGUUCCUCUUCAGUCUUCUAACAGAAUUUGGAAGAUGUUCUUAGCAUGCAACUGUUGGUUGAAAAAAACCCAAAUGUACAAGGGCCAUCAGUUCUUAAAAGUGGAAUAGUGCAUAGAAAGCUUAUUGACACAACAUAGCAGUUUGAUGAAAUGGACUGAAGCCAUUUCUGUGGAGUGGACUCGUGGAAAAUGUGAUGCCUGAUUCAUAAAAUUGUACACAGUUGAAUGUUGCUAUAUAGGUAAGGUUUUGCAAACUCAGGACUCUCAGGAAACAUCAAAGGUAUAUAGUUGGCACACUUAAUUUUAGAUAUGUGUGAUACGUUUGUGAUUUUUUUUAAAAAAAUAUUUCCAGGAAUGCUUAAGAAGAUUAUACCACCUCAUGCUAUAAAAUAAAACUAACUUGGAGAAUUCAACAAUGUUUGCUGUUUUAAUAUGCAUCUUACAAAGAUAAUUAUAAACACUGAGAGUAUUUACUGCAAUGCCCUGAAUAUAGUAUGCCUAAAGAAUUUUCUGUAUAAAAAUAAUUGUAUUUAUUUUAGUUAAAAAUUGAGUAAAAUAUACAUGCAUCAAAAUAAUUUCUAGGUAGACCAAAGUGAUAUAUGUAAAGAAAGACAAAAUCAAAAAUCAGGAAAUUGCUGGUGAAUAUCUAAUCUCGG